rnacentral:rRNA from 1 species
UACGGAGGGUGACAAGCGUUGUCCGGAUUCAUUGGGUUUAAAGGGUGCGCAGGCGGGACAUUAAGUCAGGGGUGAAAGACGGUUGCUCAACAAUCGCAGUGCCUUUGAUACUGGUGUUCUUGGGUGACCUUGAGGUAGGCGGAAUGGGUGGUGUAGCGGUGAAAUGCAUAGAUACCACCCAGAACUCCGAUUGCGAAGGCAGCCUACUGGAGGUUUACCGACGCUCAGGCACGAAAGCGUGGGGAUCAAACAGG